CCCCUCCUAAACUAAUCUAUCCCAGGCCACUAUUAUUUUGGUCCUGCUCCCCCACCUUUUUUCCACCCUACCCUUCUAGUCUUGGUGUCCUUGGCAAAUUUGCUCAUUGUGUAACUUAUGCCAAAGAAACACAUGACAGACACAAACCAGCUACACAGGAUGUUGAGUUCAUUAAGUUCUCUGAAAGAGUCCUGCGCUGGGUUACAACUAGCAAGGUGAACCACUCAUUGAAGUUAACAGAUACUUCAGCACUGCAACAGAUGUAACGUUGCAGGCACUUGGCAGUACUUCAUGGACCAGGGUUUGAAAAUUAUCAGCCAAGUAGGUAUAUUAGGACUAUGGAACUUGACAGAAGUUCUCAUCUGAUUUGCAGGACGGGUCUAGACGAAGCAUGACACUUCAAAGUGAGACCUUCAGUGUUAGUAUUUGGAAAUGGUGUAAGUUCAGAGUAUGGGCAAUAGACAAAGAUUCCAAAUGACCCCAGAAAUGAGGUGUGUUCCUCUGUAUUAGCUAGCGUGUUGGUAGGAAUGACACAGUAAUUCAGCACAACUUCUAGAAUUGGCAACUUGUCUGGCAGAGAGGCCAGGGAACUGGAAGUUGUGAGUUUGUAUUCCCACUUCUGCUAUGGUCUUUCUGUGUGACCUUGAACAAACUAUUUUGCUUCAUAUCUCCAUAAGAAAAAUGGGACUAAUGAUACUCUCUAAAGCCCCUUAGAGGUCUGCGGAUGAAAAGUGCUGUAAGUGUUGCUGAUUAUAAUCCUUUCCGUUCCUAGUGGUCCUGAAGUUUAUUUUUCUUCAUGGUUUUCCCCCAUCUUCUGCAUUGUUCUGGCUUAGGUAACGCCACCACUUAUCCUGCUCAAUUUAAAACAAAAGUAAAAACAAACCAACUUGCAGAUCUGAUCUCUAAAGUGAUAUGGCAGAUGGUAAAAUCUGAAUUAGGCAGCAGCAGUCUCUUAUCUGAGGCCUAUAAACAAAGCGGAACUGCAAAAUUUUCUUUAAUGAGCUAAAUGUAUUCCUAGGUGCUGAAGCCUCAAACGGUAAAGAUAAAAGGGGGCAUUUAGCAUGCAGUGAGUUUCUAAACCAACCUUUUUAUUCAUUUCAGCACCCACAGAAAUCAUUCCAUCCAACUCCAGGGCUGUUAAAACGCCCUAGAAUGCAUCAUUUGGUGAUGUCAUAAUUAUCCCUGUGGCCAGGCUAUGGCAUGGAGCCAGGCUAGUUGGAGUUAAGGCAUGUGGCAUUUUUAUUAUAUUGAUGUGGUUUUUGAAAAAAUGCCAUAUACCUUUUGUGGUUAGUAUUAAUUUUGCAAAACCAUGCUCUAUAAUAAAUGCCAUUUACCUGAGACCCAGCUCUGUUCUCCACGGGGGCUAGAAUGGAAGUUCUGAUGACGCAGAAUUAUGUAUUCUGGAAUGUGAGCAGAGCAGGAGAUGGCAGUGGGUAACAUCGAGGAGAUGAAAGCGUUCUGAGAGUUAAAAAAAACUGCAGCUGUGUUGACUGGCACAUUUCUCUGUUUUUUCUCUAGUGUUGGCCAUGGCAACUGCUACUCACUGUAGCACUCUCAGCUCAUUGCAAACAGAAAAAGAAGAUGUCUCCCAAAUUUUAGAUCUAAGAAAACUUGUCCUGUGAGUGAACAAGUAUCAGAUAUUCGUGCCGUGUGUGUGUGUGUGUGUGUGUGUGUGUGUGUGUGUAAAAAAAAAUUAAGAGGAAGAGAAACACAUGCUAGAUCAGAAAGCAAUAGGGGAGCAGGAUAGCUCAGAGAAUUGUGGCCGGCUGGUUUCUUUCUCCCCUGGAGUUCUGACAGUGUCGGCUGUUGAAAAACAGAGAUUCCAUCAUGAGUGUUAGACUCAUCUAGUCCGGGAACAAGAACAAUAUUGUGAGGCCAAUCUCCACUCCACAGCACAGCUUGAAGAGAAGCCUGAAACCUUCUGGGGAUGUAUCUUAGCUUGUUCCCUGUGAGAUGAAAGCAAUCCUUUCAAAAUAUCAGAUAUUAUGACUGUUGUUUAUUUUUGUUGGUUUGUUUUUUACAACUGAGCUUUCAAGGUAUUUUGUGCUCUGGUUUGUGAAGAGUAAAAAUUCCUGGUUAUUCAACUAAAGCAAAUUUUUUUUUGAUUGAUUGAUGUACUCUGGCUGGCUUCUCUGUGUUACUCAGUGUGUAAAUGUUCAGAUGCGUAUAACAGAGCCUUGCUGACUUGCUGUAAUAACCAGAAGAUCCACUCUGAAUUAGCAACUAGGUAAAGAAACAUGAUUUAAAAACAAAAGCAAAACAGCACCACACUGGGUCACAAAACCUACUUUAACUGUCAUUCAGUUUCAAUGCAUAAGACACUAGUAAAUGUACUUGGAUAGGAUUUUACUGACGUGAUAAAGUCUUAGUAAUGGGAGACCUUGGCAUAGUGUGGGGGUGGGAAGGGACAGAAUGGAGAGCUCGCUGGGUCUUCUGUGAGAAUGCCAGUCUGCGCAUUCUGUGCAUCAAAGUGAAGUUUGUGAGGUUCUAAUGCAGGGGUGGGCAAACUACGGCACGGGGGCCACAUCCGGCCCUUCAGACAUUUUAAUCCGGCCCUUGAGCUCCAGCCGGGGAGCGGGGUCUGGGGUUGCCCCACUCCGUGCGUGCCGUGGCCGGGAACCGCGGCCAAUGGGAGCUGUAGGGGCAGUGCCUGCGGACGGGGCAGCGUGCAGAGCCACC